GCGGGUAGAGCUCAGUGGUAAAGCGCGUGCUUAGCAUUGAUGAGGUCCUGGGUUCAAUUCCCGGUACCUCCA
rnacentral:tRNA from 1 species